UACGUAGGGUGCAAGCGUUAAUCGGAAUCACUGGGCUUAAAGCGUGUGUAGGCGGGCCCGUCAGUACCUUGUGAAAUCCCACGGCUCAACCGUGGAACCGCUGGGUAUACUGCGGGUCUUGGGCCGACUAGGGGCAGCCGGAACAAGCGGUGGAGCGGUGAAAUGCGUAGAUAUCAUUUGGAACGCCAAUGGUGAAAACAGGUAGCUGGGGGUGUGCUGACGCUGAGACGCGAAAGCCAGGGGAGCGAAUGGG
rnacentral:rRNA from 1 species